rnacentral:lncRNA from 1 species
UUUUUAUUACAUUGGUUGCAAUAAAUUACAUUGAUUUCCCAGUUAGAUAAAACCGAUAAUUUCACAUGUGAAAUAAACGUGGUUAUUUCACUCUCUGACGUCAUACAACAAUAGGCGUUGUCAAGACGUCGAUAACGUCGGAUCAAAACAAAUUGUCAAUGCGUAGGAAAAAGAUAUAGUUCCUUACAUUUUCUACAUUAAUUUCAUAAAAAAAAAAAGCCAUUUGCCAAUGUAAUAAAAAGAAUAACUAAUCGCCGUAUUUGAAUAUCAAAAAUAAGACAACUUGUGACCGAACGCCGC